UCUCGGGCUUCCCUGAAUACCCAAAGUUUCAUAUCUGAAGCAAGUUUUCAAGAAACUGCUCGAGUUUUAGCAAAAGCUGCCCUACGAGGUCGCAUUGAUUGGUUGAAAGGCUUGAAAGAAAACGUAGUUCUGGGGGGGAUUAUACCUGUUGGUACCGGAUUCCAAAAAUUUGUGCAUCGUUCCCCACAAGACAAGAACCUUUAUUUUGAAAUAAAAAAAAUCUAUUCGCGUCGUGCAUACCAUAUCUCAACAGAUUGGCGUAAUUUUUCUACCGCGUGUACAACCCCAUAA
rnacentral:rRNA from 1 species